ACGCUCGACACCUACGGGGGGCAGCAGUCGGGAAUAUUGCGCAAUGGAGGAAACUCUGACGCAGUGACGCCGCGUAUAGGAAGAAGGUUUUCGGAUUGUAAACUAUUGUCGUUAGGGAAGAGAAAGGACAGUACCUAAGGAGGAAGCUCCGGCUAACUACGUGCCAGCAGCCGCGGUAAUCUGAGCGGGCUGGCAAGGC
rnacentral:rRNA from 1 species